GACGAACGCUGGCGGCGUGCCUAAUACAUGCGAGUAGAACGCACAGUUUAUACCGUAGCUUGCUACACCAUAGACUGUGAGUUGCGAACGGGUGAGUAACGCGUAGGUAACCUGCCUGGUAGCGGGGGAUAACUAUUGGAAACGAUAGCUAAUACCGCAUAAUAUUAAUUAUUGCAUGAUAAUUAAUUGAAAGGUGCAAUUGCACCACUACCAGAUGGACCUGCGUUGUAUUAGCUAGUAGGUGAGGUAACGGCUCACCUAGGCGACGAUACAUAGCCGACCUGGGAGGGGGAUCGGCCACACUGGGACUGAGACACGGCCCAGACUCCUACGGGAGGCAGCAGUAGGGAAUCUUCGGCAAUGGACGAAAGUCUGACCGAGCAACGCCGCGUGAGUGAAGAAGGUUUUCGGAUCGUAAAGCUCUGUUGUAAGAGAAGAACGGGUGUGGGAGUGGAAAGUUCACACUGUGACGGUAUCUUACCAGAAAGGGACGGCUAACUACGUG
rnacentral:rRNA from 1 species